AAAGUCCCCUUCGGGGGAUAAGUAGAGUGGCGCACGGGUGAGUAACACGUAGGUAAUCUACCUUCGGGUGGGGAAUAACCCAGGGAAACUUGGGCUAACACCGCAUAAUGCAGCGGCACCACAUGGUGACAGUUGUUAAAGCGGGGGAUUUUCGGACCUCGCGCCUGAAGAGGAGCCUGCGGCAGAUUAGCUAGUUGGUAGGGUAACGGCUUACCAAGGCGACGAUCUGUAGCCGGCCUGAGAGGGCGGUCGGCCACACUGACACUGACAUACGGGUCAGACUCCUACGGGAGGCAGCAGUCGGGAAUUUUGGGCAAUGGGCGAAAGCCUGACCCAGCAACGCCGCGUGAAGGAUGAAAUCCCUCGGGAUGUAAACUUCGCAAGAAUGGGAAGAAUUAGUAGGGGUUAAUACCCCCUAUGAUGACGGUACCAUUUGUAAGCUCCGGCUAACUCCGUGCCAGCAGCCGCGGUAAUACGGGGGGAGCAAGCGUUGUUCGGAUUUACUGGGCGUAAAGGGCGCGUAGGCGGUCAGCACAAGUCAGUUGUGAAAUCUCCGGGCUUAACUCGGAAAGGUCAACUGAUACUGUGCGACUAGAGUGCGGAAGGGGCAACUGGAAUUCUCGGUGUAGCGGUGAAAUGCGUAGAUAUCGAGAGGAACACCUGCGGCGAAGGCGGGUUGCUGGGCCGACACUGACGCUGAUGCGCGAAAGCCAGGGGAGCGAACGGGAUUAGAUACCCCGGUAGUCCUGGCCUUAAACGAUGGAUGCUUGGUGUCUGGAGUUUUAUAGUCUCCGGGUGCCGUAGCUAACGCGUUAAGCAUCCCGCCUGGGGAGUACGGUCGCAAGACUG
rnacentral:rRNA from 1 species